AAUAAAUGCGGUUUUGCACUAUUUAUGUCCAACGUUCGAUCAUUCAUCUUAUUUGAAUAUUUUUAUGAUUAAUAUUUUUUAUUGUUAUUAAAUGAUAAAACAUGAAUAACACUUUAUGUGUGACUAUUUUUUUUAAUCUUUUAUAAAUUUUUCAAAUAAGACGGACAAUCAAACGUUGGACACGGAUACCCACGGCUGCACUUAUU
rfam:Oryza sativa (indica cultivar-group) chromosome 8, whole genome shotgun sequence.